rnacentral:tRNA from 1 species
GCCUGGGUGGCUCAGUUGGUUGAGCGUCUGACUUCAGCUCAGGCCAUGAUCUCCCAGUCCAUGGGUUCGAGCCCCACGUCGGGCU